rnacentral:misc_RNA from 1 species
CCCUAGCCGCGAUAGUAACGGUUACCCCACAGCAAACGCGGGCAAUGAAAGCUGCGGCUGCGCGAGGAGUAUGAGUGGAUAGCGCGAUAAAGC